GACGAACCGUACAAACGUUAUUCGGAAUCACUGGGCUUAAAGGGUGCGUAGGCGGCGCGGAAAGUUGGGUGUGAAAUCCCUCGGCUCAACCGAGGAAUUGCGCCCAAAACUACCGUGCUCGAGGGAGGUAGAGGUGAGCGGAACUUAGGGUGGAGCGGUGAAAUGCGUUGAUAUCCUAAGGAACACCGGUGGCGAAAGCGGCUCACUGGACCUUUUCUGACGCUGAGGCACGAAAGCUAGGGGAGCAAACGGG
rnacentral:rRNA from 1 species